CACACACAGUGGUUAUUUGGUCAAUACUGAACGUUACUCCAUUCCUACAAUAUUUCUAACACGUUGGAUCAUCAGUUCAAAAUUAUGAAGUACCUUCAGCUUAUCAUGGUUUAUCAAGCGUUGGAAAAUGUCUUUAAAAAUGCCUUGAAUCGGCUUUGUCUCGGGACACAGCUUGCCCCAGGAUAGAGGAUUUUAACAGGUGAAAUUAAGCCAUAUGAGAGUAAGAUGUUACUCAAAGUCUUUAUUUUUCACCUCGUCCUCUCUUUCCCCCCUCUUACCCACACUAUUGUUCACCAGCUUUGACCCCCGGCUCCAUCUGUUCAUGUGUCAAAGUGGCCUUGAGCAAAAACCCUAUAUUGCUGUCAACAAGUGUUUAUACGAGGGGAAAAUGUAAGGUGCUUGCUCUGCCAAAGUAAUGGAAUUUAACAAAACAAAAACAACAACAAAACAUUUUACAUUCUAUUAAUAUGUUUACUUUGAUAUACUGGUAACAUGUAAUUUCUCUAUUUUUUUAAAACAAUAAUGAUACAGAAGAACUUGCCUCAACACAAUGUUCAUGUGUUUAUUAUCAGGACCACUAAUCACUUGGGCAUGUGCCUGGUUUUAGGUUUCUUUCAACUAUGACCAUUAUCUUUCCCUAACCUUAGCAAAGCAGUUUUAGUCACCUAAACUUUACCAAACCCAAAACAUAGAGGUGCAGCUAAGAAAAUGCUGAUAUGAGUUGCUUUUGUUGCUGUCACGUGGGUUGUCUUUAAAGGCACUGACAGACUUUAUAUUUUGGCGUUUAGGUAAAAUGAGUAUAUAGUGUGCAUAGCAUACAUCUGUGUGUUCGGAAAAGUCAGUUAUUCAAAAUAACUACAGAAUAACACAGUUUGUCACAGUUAAUGAAAUAAUGCCGAUUAAAAUGCAUUGAGCAAACAAAGGAAGUGAGCUCCGACCCGUCCUCACCAGGAAAAUGGCCGUAUAGGUUGAUUGUUAAAGCAACUUAUUAUGACGCAUAUUUACGUUUAUUGUUAGGCAGUGACCUCUAGUGGCCGUAGUAAUUGUGACGGGAGCAAAGAAAGAAGUCAGGUGACUUCUAUAAAGAGCGACAAAGUCUGCGUCAGGAGGUGGUUGGAGUGAUGGAUGGGUCAAACAAAUACAGGACUUUCAUCCAGGACCGUGGUUCGUGUCCCGUGUGAAAACAAGUUAUCGUUGACUUAUUUAAAGUUUUAAGUUAAAUAACGUUAUGUAGCUGACCUACGUCACGUGAGUUAAGUCAUCUUACUUAUACAAGUUAUUUGAACCCAAACCACGAUCUUUUCCUAAACCUAACCAAACUGCGACCGCUUCACAAUAUUAAUCAUGUGUUUAACAUCACGUACUUGAGCUGUACGCCUGUCGCUGGUACUUUCCAACGCUGGAUAUUUUAUGCAUUGGCUACCUUGGCCAGGAAGGUACCAGUGAUGAAAAUCUCCAUCAGCAUGGUGAUGACGAGCUGGACGAUGAGGAGGAUGAUGGCAGCUGGACAUUCCUCAGUGAUGCAGCGGAAACCAUAACCAAUGGUUGUCUGAGAUUCCAGGGAGAAGAGGAAAGCCCCCGUCAAGGUCUGCAUCUGCAGCACACAGGGUGUGUGGUUUGAUGGAGGGUCGAACUCUGGAGGGACAUGGUUGAAAAGGCAACGAAAGCUCAUUGAAGUUAUUCUACUGUUGUAUGUUUUUUGUUUGUUUUUUUUUACUUCUGUGCACUUUAUUAAGGGAUGCUGUGUGUCUACCUCAAAAAUGUCCGGUAUGCGACAUUACACAACAUUACAUUUACUAUCACACUUGGUUGAGCAAACAUUGGAAACAUGAGUGACGGGAAGUGGGCGAGAGCAGAUGUCUUAUUGAAGAUAUAAAAUAAUUUCCUGCCAUCACUAAUCGGGGGUUAGUUUAAGCUCAACAUUCUGUUUAGGAAAUACAAUAAACACCAACAUCUUCACAACACUGCUAGAAAUGAAAGUGUAUACAUGGAUGUAGAUGUGCAGUGCUGCAAAAACAAUUAGACUAAGUCCAUGGCGUCAUGUAUUAUAAUCUACAUGAUUAACUUAUUGGUUUGGCACUUAUUAAAAUGAAGUAACAAAGUAGUUCAUAUACAUAAAAUUGAUUAAAAAAAGUAACAGAUUUUAAAAAGACAUUAAAAAGACAUGAUUGCUUUAAAACAGCAGUUCUCACUGUUUCCAGCCACCCCCGUAACACUUCAUGCAGCUAUGACACUCUACAUCAUCACACCAUCAUAUCAGUUGUCAUAUUCUCACUGGUUUUUCAACUGCGUGUUUUCUUUGGUUUGAAGGUCGCUGGAGAUGUUUAUUGCAUUUUUAUAUAUCAUUUUGUACAAUUGAUCUAAUACAAAUAUGGCUAAAUCCUGAUUGGUGCACAGAAGUAUGUCACCUUUUAAUAAUUGAGCCCUGCCCCCUUCAAAGAAGUGAAAAGAGCACAGGGGGAAAAGUAAUGCAGAAAUCUGUCAUGUGAAAUAACCAAAACUGCUCUAACUUUGGCAGAAAAGAGUGUACUCUUGCAGUGAAGUCUUGCAGAGCAGAGAAAAUAUUUUCGUGCCAUUCAUGUGUGCAGGCAGCCAGCAGGAAGUCAUCUGGAUCCGCCAGCAGAAGACUCUAAUGCUCAUUUUCUAAGGGUUGAGAAACAUGGUAACCAAGGAAAUGCUGAAAGGUUUUUGGGCCUGUGAGCAACUACAAUCCACUACUCAUUGGAUUGAGCGGGAUGCUAUCUUAAAACACAGUAUCCACUUUUCUUAAUACAUCCAUGGAUCAAAACGUUAAGAGCAAAUGCAAAAUAUAAAUUUUAUUCAAGAAUGCUAUCUCCUUUGGUUAUUUGGUUAAACUGCCAGACUGCAGUUUAACCAAAUCUAGCAACAUGUAUUUUUGGCAUUUCUAGAAUUCAGAUUUCAUGCUAGCUUUGAUGUCAUCACUUGCCUCUUUAUACCCCAAAAAAACCUUUGUUAUGAAUCAUUUCCUGUAGUUGACUCAUAGUGAGCUACACCUCAGUGCUGAAAAUGAAAUAUGUCUCAGUACAGUUUCAAACUGCGUCUUAAAAAGCAGCGGCUUAAAAAGCAGCUUAACACCCCAUUUUAGCUUGACAAAUUCCCCUUUUUGACUAUUUUUUGAAAGUUGACUAUUUGUCGGGUGUGAAUGUGACAUUGCCUCGUAGUUCAGGGGUGGAGUGUCCUGGGAUACAUCAUAGAUUUUUCAGUGAUUUAUUUUUUUCAUGUGGACAGCAUUACUGGAUUUUCUCAAGAGAAAGAAAAAUAACUUUGGUUGUAAUUAACUCUAUAAAAUAGGACCAGGAUCAGUAGAUAGUAUGUAAAAAAUGUAGUAUUAAGUUACUCUUUAAAGAGGGAGCACAUCAUUGUUUGACCACCAACUCCACCAGCACAUUGUGACCAUACCCUAACAUUGAGUUGGGUGGCUUAAAUGUUUGGGGAGAUAAUUUAAAGACAAAAAGGGAAAAUUUCAGUCUGAGUUUUAUUGCUGAGGUUUUGAGAUUUCCGCUUUGACCCCAGUACAGUGGGGGUGAAAAGAAUAUGAAAACUGUUCACAUUGAGGUCCGUGGAUCAUCUAGAGUGAGCUCAACAUGUUUCUCUGAGAAGACGCAUUAAACUACCCGUUAACCUAUGAUCUGUUAACUUAUGACCCCCCUUCUUCUCUCACCAAGCAGGUCUCCAUGCACCAGUGCCACCAGAUACCACAGUACCCCAAACAAGAACCAGGUCCCCGCAAACGUGGCCGUGAACAGGAAGAACUUGUAGCGCCACUGCAUGUCCAGAAAUGUUGUCCAGAGGUCACGCAUGUACAGAGUAUUCCGCCCACUGACGUGCUCGAUACGCACGUUGCUACGGCCAUCUUUGGACAGGACACGCCUCCUCUUCCUCAGAGUCCCGCCCCCACCGGAUAUGCCACCACCCAGUAAGGGUUUUAAAACAUCUGUCUGUGUCUGGGAAUGGCAAACCUUCUGAGGGGAGGAGCUACGAGAGGAAGGAGGUGUGGCAGAUGUCAUCUGGUCCUCUUCCUCCAAGGACUGAUCUUUGUCUUCACCACGGACUCCUCCACUCACACCUUCCUCCAGACUGAACAUUUGCACUUUGACUGUCUCUUGCACUAGAACUGCCUCUGCUUCACUGGCUGCUGGCUCCCACUCACUUACCACUGUCACACUACUGCACAUACACUUACCUACACUAUUUAUGCUCUCACAUACCAAUACAUAUUUAUACUACUGUCCAUAUUGUAUAUAUCUGGCCUAUAGUGUAUUCAUAUUUAUACUAGCAUCUUAGCGUAUUCAUAUCUACCUCUCACUGUUAUUUAUAUAUUACCUCUAUACAUAUAGUAUGUACAUUACUCUGCACUUUACUGCUUUUUGCACUUCUGGUUAGAUGUCAAACUGCAUGUUGUCGUUUCAGUACUUGAACUGUAUGUGCAAUGACAAUAAAGUUGAAUGUAAUCUCAUCUAAAAAAAAAUGUCAUUGUGAGCAUGUUAGCAUGAUAACCACUAGCAUUUUUGCAUUUACUUGACUGUGAGUGCUAAGGGUUCAACAAAAAACUGUGUACCUAAACAUUUAUCCAUCUUAAAGGAGAAUUACAGCCUCACACAUCUGCGUGUCUACAGACUCGCAAAGUGUGAACACCAACAAAAAAACUGUUCGUGUUUAGUUGAUAUCUUUAAGAUCUUUAAUGACGUAUUUGCACAGACUGGGGAACUGUUAUUACAGAUAGAAAUCAUUUGUUAAGAUGGAGAUUGUUGUAGUGCAUUUAUGAUAUCUACAGGGCUGAUUCUGGGCUCUUUCCACAAGACAAAACCCCAUGUAUUAUUGUCUUAAUGUAGAGAAAAUGAACUGCAAAUAUUUCCUGCAACAGUUAAAUGUAUGUUGCAGUAAUAUCUGUGUUUUUAGUGCUUUACACUGUGGGAUGUUUGCAUGAAUGCAUGCCCUUGUCAGAACAUUCAGAUGCAGUCCACCCCUGUCACACACAGACAGACAGUUACUGUAUCUCCACACAUUUGACACACUCACUUACGUCCAACAAAUCAUGUAGGCCAGUAGGGAGAGGAUAGCCCACAAAAGGGGAAGAUAAGGAAGAGGAGAGAGAAACGAAGAAAGAGUAGAAUUAGGAUGAAGAUGUACUGCAUUAACCCAACAAACCGUCUUCACAGAGUCUCAUUUGUCAG